rnacentral:rRNA from 1 species
UACGAAGGGGGCUAGCGUUGUUCGGAAUUACUGGGCGUAAAGCGCGCGCAGGCGGUCUUCCAAGUCAGUGGUGAAAGCCUGGAGCUCAACUCCAGAACUGCCAUUGAAACUGUUAGACUUGAGUACGAGAGAGGUGAGUGGAAUUCCCAGUGUAGAGGUGAAAUUCGUAGAUAUUGGGAAGAACACCAGUGGCGAAGGCGAACUCACUGGCUCGUAACUGACGCUCAGGCGCGACAGCGUGGGGAUCAAACAGG